rnacentral:rRNA from 1 species
GAUGAACGCUGGCGGCGUGCCUCAAACAUGCAAGUCGAGCGGGGCUAUGUAAUAUCGCAAGGUAGAACAUAGCCUAGCGGCGAACGGGUGAGUAACACGUGGGUAACCUGCCUGGAAGACAGGGAUAACGAUUCGAAAGGGUCGCUAAUACCUGAUAAUAUCCUUUCAUCGCAUGGCGAUAGGAAGAAAGGGGAAACCCGCUUUCAGAUGGGCCCGCGUCCCAUCAGCUAGUUGGUAAGGUAAAGGCUUACCAAGGCGACGACGGGUAGCCGGUCUGAGAGGAUGUACGGCCACACUGGGACUGAGAUACGGCCCAGACUCCUACGGGAGGCAGCAGUUGGGAAUCUUAGGCAAUGGACGAAAGUCUGACCUAGCGACGCCGCGUGAGGGAAGAAGGCCUUCGGGUUGUAAACCUCUGUCAUGGGGAAGAAGUAAGUGACGGUACCCAAGAGGAAGCCCCUGCUAACUACGUG